ensembl:lncRNA
CCAUCCUCUUGCAAAUGUCACGUUCUCCCCUAGCCCGGUACAAAGCUGACAUUGUUAUUAUCUUGUUGCAGGAGUCCAAGCUUUGGCACUAGCAGAACACACUAGAGAACAGUAAGUGCUGCUAUGGUUGGUGAUGAAAGGAAAAGCUUCUGAGAUCCAGGCUUCUUUGAACCAAGCAAGUCUGAGGAUUCACCAGGGAGAGGAAACUGGGGGUUUUUCUUCUGCAUCACUUUUCCUCAAAAAUUAAUUUGCAACAGAAUAGCAAAUACUGAGCUAGACAGGGUCCAGUACUCCAACUUUUCCUUAACUGUGAAUCAAAUAAUUAAAGACAUUUUUCAAGCUCUUGUACCAAUUAACUAAUCCUCAGUGUUGCACCGAGGAGGAAGAGGGAACUCAUAAAGGCAAGGAAGAUGAAAGGAAAAGGAAAGCAGCUGCCAAGCCUUCCCCCCUGUGAAUGCCAUGUCUCGGUUAG